rnacentral:rRNA from 1 species
GGUAAUACGAAGGGUGCAAGCGUUAAUCGGAAUUACUGGGCGUAAAGCGCACGCAGGCGGUCUGUCAAGUCGGAUGUGAAAUCCCCGGGCUCAACCUGGGAACUGCAUUCGAAACUGGCAGGCUAGAGUCUUGUAGAGGGGGGUAGAAUUCCAGGUGUAGCGGUGAAAUGCGUAGAGAUCUGGAGGAAUACCGGUGGCGAAGGCGGCCCCCUGGACAAAGACUGACGCUCAGGUGCGAAAGCGUGGGGAGCAAACAGGAUUA